AUCUACGGUUAUAGAACCUGUGAAACAUCGCAUCCCGUUAGAUCUGCGCAAUUUAGUCAGGUGUCGCUCGGUUAGUACCAACGUGGGGGACCAGUUGGGAAUCCCGAGUGCUGUAGUUU
rfam:Kwoniella mangroviensis CBS 10435 unplaced genomic scaffold supercont2.9, whole genome shotgun sequence.